rnacentral:rRNA from 1 species
UACGUAGGUGGCAAGCGUUGUCCGGAAUUAUUGGGCGUAAAGCGCGCGCAGGCGGUCCUUUUAAGUCUGAUGUGAAAAGCCCACGGCUCAACCGUGGAGGGUCAUUGGAAACUGGGGGGACUUAGUGCAGAAGAGGAAAGUGGAAUUCCACGUGUAGCGGUGAAAUGCGUAGAGAUGUGGAGGAACACCAGUGGCGAAGGCGACUUUUCUGGUCUGUAACUGACGUGAGGCGCGAAAAGCGUGGGGGGAGCAAAACAGG